AGGAAUCCUCCAGCCAAGGCCAGGUAGUCACUCAGUCGCUCCCAGUCCGUGCCGGCGAGAAGAGGCAAGGAGCAGCGCAGGACUCUCUUAAGUCUUUACCCAGGAGCAGCGGACGCGACGAAUCCUGCGCCUGAGUCCUGUACACGCUUGGCAGUCACGACGAAGUCAUGAAGGUCACCGGCUGCAAGGUUGUGGCGACGGUGGCGCUGCUGAUGGUGCUGUUGGUGGUGCUGGGACCAUCCAUCACAGCGGCACAGGCGAGCUUGAAGGACCUCCUACCAAAGAUCAUCGACUCAUCUUUUAUCGGGCUGUGGAGGGGCCGUCCGGGAGUCAGACCUUCAGCGGGUGCCAUACUACCCUGUGGCAGCCCCCCGUGUAGAAGGCCACUCAUCACCCAGGGAUAACCCCAGUGACCAGCGAGGACAGAGCCCACUUCCCCCUCUCUCUCCCUCCCUCUCCUUCCCUCUCUCUCUCUCCCUCUCGUAACCUAUCGUGUCCCCGGCCUUCCUUCCUUCCUUUCUCCAAAACACACACACACACACACACACACACACACACACACACACACACACACACACACACACACACACACACACACACA